AGCAGCCGCGGUAAUUCCAGCUCCAAUAGCGUAUAUUAAAGUUGUUGCAGUUAAAAAGCUCGUAGUUGAAUUUCGGGAUCAAUACGUCGGUCGUGCUUCGGUACGUACUGGCGUCAUUGAUUUCUCCCUUCUGACGAACCAUGAUGUCAUUAACUUGGUGUCAUGGGAAAUCAGGACUGUUACUUUGAAAAAAUUAGAGUGUUUAAAGCAGGCUCACGCUUGAAUACAUUAGCAUGGAAUAAUGAAAUAGGACGUUCGAUCCUAUUUUGUUGGUUUUAGGAUCAACGUAAUGAUUAAUAGGGAUAGUUGGGGGCAUUAGUAUUCAAUUGUCAGAGGUGAAAUUCUUGGAUUUAUUGAAGACUAACUACUGCGAAAGCAUUUGCCAAGGAUGUUUUCAUUAAUCAAGAACGAAAGUUAGGGGAUCGAAGACGAUCAGAUACCGUCGUAGUCUUAACCAUAAACUAUGCCGACUAGGGAUCGGAUGAUGUUAAUUUUUUAAUGACUCAUUCGGCGCCUUACA
rnacentral:rRNA from 1 species